UGAAAGGAGAGGUUGCCACCU
rnacentral:siRNA from 1 species